GAUGAACGCUGGCGGCGUGCCUAAUACAUGCAAGUCGAGCGAACGGACGAGAAGCUUGCUUCUCUGAUGUUAGCGGCGGACGGGUGAGUAACACGUGGAUAACCUACCUAUAAGACUGGGAUAACUUCGGGAAACCGGAGCUAAUACCGGAUAAUAUUUUGAACCGCAUGGUUCAAAAGUGAAAGACGGUCUUGCUGUCACUUAUAGAUGGAUCCGCGCUGCAUUAGCUAGUUGGUAAGGUAACGGCUUACCAAGGCAACGAUGCAUAGCCGACCUGAGAGGGGAUGCGGCACCGCUGAACUGGGAAAGGGUUCCGGCUCCGACGGGAAGGCGAAGUAGGGGAUCGGUCGGCAGUGGCGGAAGCCUGACCGUGCCAACGCGCCGUAGGGAGGGAGGUUCUCGGAUUCGGAAACUGCGGUUAUUGGGAAGGACAUGAGGCGAAAGUACUGGUAAAAUCCUGACGGUAACCAAACAGAAAGCCACGGCUAACUACGUG
rnacentral:rRNA from 1 species